GUAGUCCACGCCGUAAACGAUGGAUGCUAGCCGUUGGGAGUUCAGCUCUCGGUGGCGCAGCUAACGCGUUAAGCAUCCCGCCUGGGGAGUACGGUCGCAAGAUUAAAACUCAAAGGAAUUGACGGGGACCCGCACAAGCGGUGGAACAUGUGGUUUAAUUCGAGGCAACGCGAAGAACCUUACCAGGCCUUGACAUGCCCUCUAUGGGGCCCAGAGAUGGGCUCCUUCACUUCGGGUGGGAGGUGCACAGGUGCUGCAUGGCUGUCGUCAGCUCGUGUCGUGAGAUGUUGGGUUAAGUCCCGCAACGAGCGCAACCCUCAUCCUCUGUUGCCAACAGGUAAAGCUGGGAACUCUGAGGAAACUGCCGGUGAUAAGCCGGA
rnacentral:rRNA from 1 species